UACGUAGGGGGCAAGCGUUGUCCGGAUUUAUUGGGCGUAAAGAGCGUGUAGGCGGCCAUGUAGGUCCGUUGUGAAAACUCGAGGCUCAACCUCGAGACGUCGGUUGAAACCGUUUGGCUAGAGUCCGGAAGAGGAGAGUGGAAUUCCCGGUGUAGCGGUGAAAUUCGUAGAUAUCAGGAAGAACACCCGUGGCGAAGGCGGCUUUCUGGGACGGUACUGACGCUGAGACGCGAAAGCGUGGGGAGCGAACAGG
rnacentral:rRNA from 1 species